UAGGGAAUCUUCCGCAAUGGGCGAAAGCUUGACGGAGCAACGCCGCGUGAGUGAUGAAGGUCUUCGGAUUGUAAAACUCUGUUAUUAGGGAAGAACAAAUGUGUUAGUAACUAUGCACGUCUUGACGGUACCUAAUCAGAAAGCCACGGCUAACUACGUGCCAGCAGCCGCGGUAAUACGUAGGUGGCAAGCGUUAUCCGGAAUUAUUGGGCGUAAAGCGCGCGUAGGCGGUUUUUUAAGUCUGAUGUGAAAGCCCACGGGUCAACCGUGGAUGGUCAUUGGAAACUGGAAAACUUGAGUGCAGAAGAGGAAAGUGGAAUUCCAUGUGUAGCGGUGAAAUGCGCUAGGAUAUGGUGGAACACCAUUGGCGAAGGCGACUUUCUGGUCUGUAACUGACGCUGAUGUGCGAAAGCGUGGGGAUCAAACAGG
rnacentral:rRNA from 1 species